CAUACGACCGUACCGCAAACCGACACUGGUGCGCGAGAUGAGUAUUCUAAGGCGCUUGAGAGAACUCAGGAGAAGGAACUCGACAAAUUGACACCGUAACUUCGGAAGAAGGUGUGCCCUAUUAGUGUGUAGUGAACAACGAAGCAUGAAUGGGUUGCAAAAAAUCGGUGGCUGCGACUGUUUAUUAAAAACACAGCACUCUGCAAACACGAAAGUGGACGUAUAGGGUGUGACGCCUGCCCGGUGCUGGAAGAUUAAAUGAUGGGGUGCAAGCUCUUGAUUGAAGUCCCAGUAAACGGCGGCCGUAACUAUAACGGUCCUAAGGUAGCGAAAUUCCUUGUCGGGUAAGUUCCGACCUGCACGAAUGGCGUAACGAUGGCCACACUGUCUCCUCCUGAGACUCAGCGAAGUUGAAAUGUUUGUGAUGAUGCAAUCUCCCCGCGGAAAGACGGAAAGACCCCAUGAACCUUUACUGUAGCUUUGUAUUGGACUUUGAACAGAUCUGUGUAGGAUAGGUGGGAGGCUUUGAAGCAGGGUCGCUAGAUCUUGUGGAGCCAACGUUGAAAUACCACCCUGGUGUGUUUGAGGUUCUAACCUAGGUCCAUUAUCUGGAUCGGGGACAGUGCAUGGUAGGCAGUUUGACUGGGGCGGUCUCCUCCCAAAGCGUAACGGAGGAGUUCGAAGGUACGCUAGUUACGGUCGGACAUCGUGACGAUAGUGCAAUGGCAUAAGCGUGCUUAACUGCGAGACUGACAAGUCGAGCAGAUGCGAAAGCAGGACAUAGUGAUCCGGUGGUUCUGUAUGGAAGGGCCAUCGCUCAACGGAUAAAAGGUACUCUGGGGAUAACAGGCUGAUACCGCCCAAGAGUUCAUAUCGACGGCGGUGUUUGGCACCUCGAUGUCGGCUCAUCUCAUCCUGGGGCUGUAGCCGGUCCCAAGGGUAUGGCUGUUCGCCAUUUAAAGAGGUACGUGAGCUGGGUUUAAAACGUCGUGAGACAGUUUGGUCCCUAUCUUCCGUGGGCGCUGCAGAUUUGAGGAAGCCUGCUCCUAGUACGAGAGGACCGGAGUGGACACACCUCUGGUGUAUCGGUUGUCACGCCAGUGGCAUUGCCGAGUAGCUAAGUGUGGAAGAGAUAACCGCUGAAAGCAUCUAAGCGGGAAACUCGUUUCAAGAUGAGAUCUGCCGGGGCCUUGAGCCCCCUAAAGAGUCGUUCAAGACCAGGACGUUGAUAGGUCAGGUGUGGAAGUG
rnacentral:rRNA from 1 species